rnacentral:rRNA from 1 species
AGAGUUUGAUCAUGGCUCAGGAUGAACGCUGGCGGCGUGCUUAACACAUGCAAGUCGAACGUGAGAGGUAGCAAUAUCUUGAAAGUGGCGCACGGGUGAGUAACACGUAGGUAACCUGCCUCGGAGUGGGGGAUAACAGUUAGAAAUGACUGCUAAUACCGCAUGAAUCCAUUAAGAUGGGAAUGUUGAUGGAGAAAACUCUGGUGCUUCGAGAGGGGCCUGCGGUCGAUUAGCUAGUUGGCGGGGGUAACGGCCCACCAAGGCGACGAUCGAUAGCUGGUCUGAGAGGACGAUCAGCCACACGGGAACUGAGACACGGUCCCGACUCCUACGGGGGGCAGCAGUGAGGAAUAUUGGGCAAUGGACGGAAGCCUGACCCAGCAACGCCGCGUGGAGGAAUGAAGGCCUUCGGGUUGUAAACUCCUUUUGCAGGGGAAGAGGAAGGACGGUACCCUGCGAAUAAGUCACGGCUAACUACGUG